UGGGGAAUUUUGCACAAUGGGGGAAACCCUGAUGCAGCGACGCCGCGUGAUUUAGAAGGCCUUCGGGUUGUAAAAAUCUUUUGUAUAGGAAGAAAAUGACAGUACUAUACGAAUAAGGACCGGCUAAUUACGUGCCAGCAGCCGCGGUAAUACGUAAGGUCCGAGCGUUGUCCGGAAUCAUUGGGCGUAAAGGGUACGUAGGCGGGUAAGCAAGUUAGAAGUGAAAUCCUGUAGCUCAACUACAGUAAGCUUUUAAAACUGCUCAUCUUGAGAUGUGGAAGGGAAAGUGGAAUUUCUAGUGUAACGGUGAAAUGCGCAGAUAUUAGGAGGAAUACCGGUGGCGAAGGCGACUUUCUGGCCAUAAUCUGACGCUGAGGUACGAAAGCGUGGGUAGCAAACAGG
rnacentral:rRNA from 1 species